ACUGGCUCCAAGGGAAGCCAGCUGCCAUGUUUUGAGGGCACUCAAGCAGCCCACGGAGAGGCUCAAGUUGUAAGAAACUGGGGUGUCUGGCCAGCGGCGGGUGAGAAGCGGAAGGCUCAGGGGAUACUGGGCACUCAAGAGGCUCACAAAUUAACCGGUUAAGAGGACAUCAGCUUCACUAGGAGCCAGCGGUGACUGUCGUGUGCAGACCAGGACUGAGGCUAGAGUUCUGCGUGGGACCUGGCUUCUGCCAAACAGACCUAUUACAGGAGACCUAGAGCUCUGACCUGCCUGGGAUGCCCCAGCCAUCGACAUCGUCGAUCCAGCCAUCCACUUGGUCACAGCUGAUGAUCCAGCAUCACUGGAAGCAGCCAACUGUCCUGACGUGUCAUCGAAGGUCAGUACCAGCCUAACGC